CUGGUCCUGGCCCUGGCCCUGGUCCCUGGCUACAGGGCCUAGCCACUAAAGCCUGUCCACUAGAACCUGGCC
rnacentral:miRNA from 1 species